rnacentral:rRNA from 1 species
UACGGGGGGGGCAAGCGUUGUUCGGAAUUACUGGGCGUAAAGGGCUCGUAGGUGGCCAACUAAGUCAUACGUGAAAUCCCUCAGCUUAACUGGGGAACUGCGUCUGAUACUGGAUGGCUUGAGAUUGGGAGAGGGAUGCGGAAUUCCAGGUGUAGCGGUGAAAUGCGUAGAUAUCUGGAGGAACACCGGUGGCGAAGGCGGCAUCCUGGACCAACACUGACACUGAGGAGCGAAAGCCAGGGGAGCAAACGGG